GAUGAACGCUGGCGGCGUGCCUAAUACAUGCAAGUCGAGCGAACGGACGAGAAGCUUGCUUUUCUGAUGUUAGCGGCGGACGGGUGAGUAACACGUGGAUAACCUACCUAUAAGACUGGGAUAACUUCGGGAAACCGGAGCUAAUACCGGAUAAUAUUUUGAACCGCAUGGUUCAAAAGUGAAAGACGGUCUUGCUGUCACUUAUAGAUGGAUCCGCGCUGCAUUAGCUAGUUGGUAAGGUAACGGCUUACCAAGGCAACGAUGCAUAGCCGACCUGAGAGGGUGAUCGGCCACACUGGAACUGAGACACGGUCCAGACUCCUACGGGAGGCAGCAGUAGGGAAUCUUCCGCAAUGGGCGAAAGCCUGACGGAGCAACGCCGCGUGAGUGAUGAAGGUCUUCGGAUCGUAAAACUCUGUUAUUAGGGAAGAACAUAUGUGUAAGUAACUGUGCACAUCUUGACGGUACCUAAUCAGAAAGCCACGGCUAACUACGUGCCAGCAGCCGCGGUAAUACGUAGGUGGCAAGCGUUAUCCGGAAUUAUUGGGCGUAAAGCGCGCGUAGGCGGUUUUUUAAGUCUGAUGUGAAAGCCCACGGCUCAACCGUGGAGGGUCAUUGGAAACUGGAAAACUUGAGUGCAGAAGAGGAAAGUGGAAUUCCAUGUGUAGCGGUGAAAUGCGCAGAGAUGUGGAGGAACACCAGUGGCGAAGGCGACUUUCUGGUCUGUAACUGACGCUGAUGUGCGAAAGCGUGGGGAUCAAACAGGAUUAGAUACCCUGGUAGUCCACGCCGUAAACGAUGAGUGCUAAGUGUUAGGGGGUUUCCGCCCCUUAGUGCUGCAGCUAACGCAUUAAGCACUCCGCCUGGGGAGUACGACCGCAAGGUUGAAACUCAAAGGAAUUGACGGGGGCCCGCACAAGCGGUGGAGCAUGUGGUUUAAUUCGAAGCAACGCGAAGAACCUUACCAAAUCUUGACAUCCUUUGACAACUCUAGAGAUAGAGCCUUCCCCUUCGGGGGACAAAGUGACAGGUGGUGCAUGGUUGUCGUCAGCUCGUGUCGUGAGACGUUGGGUUAAGUCCCGCAACGAGCGCAACCCUUAAGCUUAGUUGCCAUCAUUAAGUUGGGCACUCUAAGUUGACUGCCGGUGACAAACCGGAGGAAGGUGGGGAUGACGUCAAAUCAUCAUGCCCCUUAUGAUUUGGGCUACACACGUGCUACAAUGGACAAUACAAAGGGCAGCGAAACCGCGAGGUCAAGCAAAUCCCAUAAAGUUGUUCUCAGUUCGGAUUGUAGUCUGCAACUCGACUACAUGAAGCUGGAAUCGCUAGUAAUCGUAGAUCAGCAUGCUACGGUGAAUACGUUCCCGGGUCU
rnacentral:rRNA from 1 species